rnacentral:misc_RNA from 1 species
CAGGUAGCAUUCUUAAACGACAAUGCCUGACGGAACACCAAGGUAUCCCAUCCGGCGUCAUUCAAUUUUCGGCAAGUUCUUGCCUCUACAGGUAACCGGAAGCCAAAGGCCUCACCACCCGAUAUUGUAUUCUGCAUCCGAGGGAGCAAACAAAAAACCAGGUAAACCACAGAUUAUGCAAAGCACUGAAACAUAAAGAGUGGGUCACUGGCAAUGCCUCGUAGGUAUGCAAAAGACAUCAAAUGUCAUCUGACAUCCAUCGCAAACAAGCUGAAUAUUGACAAAAAGAUUCCAAUGGGUAGGUAUACAACACAGGAACCAUCUGUGUGGCAAAGGAUAUGGCAGACCAAUGCCAACAAGUGAAAUAGAGAACGAGGUUGGACGUCGAGAGAAAUCUCUGAAAGGAUCCA